rnacentral:lncRNA from 1 species
CAGAUGAGGAGCACAAUCAAUUGCUAAAAACAUUGCCCAUUGAUGGAGAGGAAGUUGAUGUUGAUGACUUGAAAACAAUUCUAGGAAACAUGGGGAUAGAGCUUACGGAUAAAGAACUCACAGAACUGGUAAAUAAUCUGCCAGUUGAUGGUGAGUAUUUCAAAUAAAAAUGUAAUCUUCCAGGGAGGCUUACAGUUAAACUUUGAAAACUUCUAAAACUAUCUAACUUUAAAAAUAAUCUAUGACCCAUAUUACGUAAUUUUAAAUGACCCCAUUAUAUUUUAAAAGAUUAUUUGUGCC